UCGGCAAUUAAUUUUUCAGACGGAGCCGGGCUCGAACCACGACGGCCGAGAUCAAUAUCCCCAAGAUCAGUGGGCACUUCACCGGGACUGGAGACCUCUUCGCGGGCGUUGUUCUUAGCCUGGUUCCACAGGUCCGAUCUCCCGACGGCCCUCGAGAAAGCUACCUCCACCGUCCAGGCUGUCUUGAAAAGGACCAACGAGUAUGUUGAAUCAUUGGGUGGAGGCGAGGGCUCCAAGCAUGAUCGAGAACUGAAAAUCAUACAGAGCAAAGCGAUAUCGAGAAUCCUGAAGUUGUUCACAAAGCCGCAGUGAAGAUCGUGUGAAAAGAAGUUCAACGCGCCCGUUUUCAACCGACCAAACCUGAAAUCCGUCUUCCAUGACAAUAAUAUAUAAUUAUAUUGAUGUACUGAUUCUAUAUUUUAGAGUUAAAUACUUUUUUGUUAGCCGCGAUCUUGUCUUUGAUAGAUCACGUGAUAACUCUGAGGCUGAGAUCGUAACUUUCACUGUCUCUGGUAAUUUUCCUAGGAAAUAAGAAUUCGCCAAACCCCUCAAUGAACUUUAUUAUGGAAGAAAUAAGUUAGUUCUAAAUGUUUUUCUGAUCUAUUUUUUCGAAGGUCUCAAAAUUUGCCUACUUCCUCAGAGGAAUCUGAGGUACCUCUUUGGGAUGAAUAUUUAGUAUUUUCAAUACUACUACUUAUGCUACUUUAACCAGUAUUUCUCGUCUUCCUUAAAUUAUGGUAAAUAUAUUUAAAGGUUUAGGUCCCUUUUGUGUGUAACAUUUCUCAUGAUUUUAUGAUAAGCAACUGAUUAGAGCCUUACUGUCAAGUAGCAAGUCCGAGUAAAUAGGCGGCAAUUACUUUUUUAAAUCACAGUAAUACUUUUAGGUAAGACUAUAAAACCAAACUCUAAGAACAUUGCAUAAUGAACAUCACUAAGAGAGUGCUGUUUGCAUUUAAUCGCACAUCAUUCAAGUUUCCUUUUGUUAAAAUUUUUUUUACGACUAAGUUUUUUUUUUCUUUUUAUUCUUUUUUUCUUUAUAUUGGGUAACCAUUCUUUGUUCUCUUUAAGUUUUUAAUAGUUUUGAAAUGUCUUAUAUUUUAUUAUUUCAUUUCCAAAAAAGCUGUUCAAUCGAGCUGUGACGAUUUGAGGUGCGAGUAACGAUUUUAAUUUUUAUCUAUCAUCGACGAGUGAUCAUUUCUACUUAAUUUAAGUAUUUCCGACAGUGAAUCGAGCCAUUUGUUACAUAAUUGCUGUGCGCUUGUUUCUACUAAUUUUAGAGUUUCUGAUAGUGAAUCAAGCCAUUUGUUACCAGAUCAUUGUGCGCCAGUAAUUGUUUUAUGAGUGAUAAGAUCAAUUAUCAUGUCUAGCUUUUUCAUGUUAUACCCGCUGCGUGAAAUAAUUUGAUAUGCUCGGUUAAAAAU
rnacentral:lncRNA from 1 species